UUUCUCUUAGUUUAAUGGUUAGAAUAACAUUCUUCUAAAGUGUAAGUUCUGGUUCGAGUCCAGAAGAGAAAA
rnacentral:tRNA from 2 species